UGGGGAAUAUUGCACAAUGGGCGCAAGCCUGACCCAGCAACGCCGCGUGGGUGACGAAGGCCUUCGGGUUGUAAAGCCCUUUUCUGAGGGAAGAUUGUGACGGUACCUCAGGAAUAAGUACCGGCUAACUACGUGCCAGCAGCCGCGGUAAUACGUAGGGUGCAAGCGUUGCCCGGAUUUAUUGGGCGUAAAGGGCGCGCAGGCGGUUCGGCACGUCCGUUGUGAAAUCGCCCGGCUCAACUGGGCGGGGUCAGCGGAUACGGUCGAACUUGAGCAAGCUAGGGGGCAAUGGAAUUCCCGGUGUAGUGGUGGAAUGCGUAGAUAUCGGGAGGAACACCAGUGGCGAAGGCGGUUGCCUGGAGCUUUGCUGACGCUGAGGCGCGAAAGCGUGGGGAGCGAUC
rnacentral:rRNA from 1 species